rnacentral:rRNA from 1 species
UACGUAGGGGGGCAAGCGUUGUCCGGAUUUAUUGGGCGUAAAGCGCACGUAGGCGGACCAUCAAGUCGGAUGUGAAAUCCCUCGGCUUAACCGAGGACGUGCACUCGAUACUGAUGGCCUUGAGUACGAAAGAGGAUCGCGGAAUUCCCCGGUGUAGAGGUGAAAAUUCGUAGAUAUGGGGGAGGAACACCGGUGGCGAAGGCGACCAUCUGGACGGAUACUGACGCUGAGACGCGAAAAGCGUGGGGUAGCAAACAGG